UUUCCAUUUAUAUCGGUCUUGGGCAGUCUGUUCUAGCUCCUUCCACGUCAUGCCCAAGACACCUAGCUCCUGCUCCGCCGAGCGACGCCAAGUCGUUCUGGGGCGAAUAAGUAGGAGAAAAAGUGAAGUUGGUAGCGUGUGCGCAUAGAUAGGACCACCUGAUUGUGAGUGGUUUCCCUCGCUUGUGGGCGUCAGUAAUGCCGGGGCAGCGUCAAGCCACCACCCACCACUAAACUAAAUAAAUUUCAACUCUAAAAUCUGUUUAUACAAAUAAAUAAAUAAAAACCAAUAAACAACGAUAGAAUUUUAGCAGACCGUAAGGUUUUCAUCCCAUUUACCAAAUAUAAAAACAAUGUGUUAUUCAAGAAGUUCAAAACUAUUAACGGACAAUUAAAAUCCGCGUGAUAGUGGAUAGUGCAAUGUUCAUUAAAUAUCGGUGCGCGCCUUCACGGACUACUUAUGUUUCAUUAUCAAAAGCACGCGCAUUAGUUAACAGCUCAUCGAUCGAUCGAUUACAUAUCAACUGCAGGUGUCUCUAUAUUCAUAGAUUAACUUCAAUCACGCCUUCACUUAAUGUUGUUUAUCUGAUAAUUUAUUUACAAUAAAGCCGAUGUGCUAACGUCCCGUGCAUGUCCAGCACGUGCUUCGUGUGCUAUCAUUCAAUAUAAAUUAUUACACUAAAUUAUGGUUGGAUAAUGUUGAUUUUUGUCUUCACCCAUUCGGACUAUCCACAUUGUAUUAACUGCGCCUAUCAGUUGUAAAUAAGAUUAGAAUUACCGGUUAAUGUUCUAUUUAUUUGUUUACAAUCGCAUUUCACACUAUGUGCACGAACUUUAGCCGAAGUUAGGAUGUUACAAAGCAACAUGAAUUCCGCCGUUCACCUUGAGACUUGACGAAUCCUCAAUUGUAUUAUAUUGGUAAAAUAUAUUUCACAGAGAGUGUUCUGAUGAAUCGUUUUUUUUUUUUAUGUUUGAGAGAUUACUGGUGGCCCGAAAGCCUUUCCAGUUUUAUCAGGGCCUGGGCUCAGCCAGGAGGGGUGAGAUUUGCUAACAGCUAUCCGAGCGCUUCCAAAGGAGACCUAAGAACUCAAGAAUAGCUACUUCGCGAAUGACAGAGGAAUUGUCUUCUACUAUCUACUGCCCGACAUAGCAGAGUUCUUUUUUGACCAACUUAAAUACGAAUGGUUCCGAGGGGCUAUUCUGGCUUCAUCUUGGCUCAUGGGGUUCGGCCUGAGAAAACUGCUAACAUUUUUUUUUAUUGCUUAGUUGGGUGUACGAGCUCACAGCCCACCUGGUGUUAAGUGGUUACUGGAGCCCAUACACAUCUACAACGUAAAUGCGCCACCCACCUUGAGAUAUAAAUUCUAAGGUCUCAGUAUAGUUACAACGGCUGCCCCACCCUUCAAACCGAAACGCAUUACUGCUUCACGACAGAAAAGGCAGGGUGGUGGUACCAAAAUCUACCGCCGAAACAGAAUUGCAAUUCACUGAGAUAAUCCGACGAGCAGCUCAGUGGGUUCGCAGGGCUCAUUCAUACCACCUAUAUCCACAGUGCAUUUCCGAAAACCUUUUGGCUAUUUACCCUACGGCUUUGAAAUUAAUUUUCCUCUACUGUGAUUCCCGAGCGCUAUGACAUGUCCUUCUUCAAAUGGAUUUUGCGGAGAGUAUUAACCGUAGAGCGGUAGGCAGGAACUUCGCUGAGCUAUUGGCGUUACUGACAUCCAUUAACAGCGGUAAAUAACUUACCAUCGGGUGCUGCGUUACUUCACUUGCCUUUAAAAACAAACUUGCUUAGGGAAAAAAAAUAUCUAAAUAUGACGGUAUUAACUUGUGGAUUUCUAGAUGUUUCGGUGGAUACUUAACACUAUUUUGGAGGGGGGAGGAGUGAGGCGAAAUCACCCAACUAAGCAUAAACAAACUAGAAGCUAUAACUGAACUUUAUGACAGAAGUAUUAUAAACAUAGAUAGCACACUUAAUAUUCAAAUUAUAAAUUAGAAAGGAAGGCGCAUCUUUCCGCUGUAAUGGAAGAACUUUAAAAACUCCGAACCACUCAAUAAAACGCCAAAGAGACGUGAAAUGACAGAAAUGUAGAUAAAACUAAAUAUAGAGGAGCCGUUGUAAUAAAACACCGUCCCUUGUCUACUAACAAAUGGAAAGUUUGUUGGUAAACCUGAUAACGUUUGGUAAAUACGGAUAUUCAUCAUACGCCUCGUAAGUUAUAUUCCGUAAUUGUUUUUCAGAUUUCGCCGCGCAGGUCAACAUAAUAUAAAAUAUAAUCGUGCAUUAGUCAUAAGAAGUUCAGUCGAAUUAAUUGAAUUCGAAUAAUCUAUUUACAUUGGUUUCUGUUUCGGAGAACGUGCAAGACGACACGUUAGUGCGAUAGUCUCAUGAAUGUAAAAUCUAUGCCCGAACGAUUAGGUGAGCUCACGGCCUCUACCUGAGAGAAUUUGCUAACACUAGUCCUAGCAAGAGCAGUGCUUCGCUGAAUCUACCACCGAAUCGGAAUCGUGACCCACGGAGAAGAUCCGGCGAUAAGUUCAGUGGGGUCGUAUCUGUUAUCAGUCGAGAAAGCCGGAGUCGCAUAACCGAUCUUCUGAUUAAUAUCCGGUCGAUUAUCUAUUAUCCUUUGACCGGGCUUCCUAGCGCAUAAACAUACUUUCAUCAGAUCUUUGUUAUCGAUAUGUCAGUUAAUUAUAAAAGCAAUGGAAAUAAAAUGUAACUUUUAUUCAAAAUAAACAUCUAAGCAUAAUAAUAUGAUCCUUUAGAA